rnacentral:rRNA from 1 species
AUGAACGCUGGCGGCGUGCCUAACCCAUGCCAGUCGAACCGAUUCCAGCCUUUUAUACCUUCGUGUCACAGAGGGGAAGACUGAGUGGCGGACUGUUUAUUAACCCGUUGGCAUCCUUGCUCAUAUUGGGGGAUAACAUUUAGAAAUUUCUUCUAAUACCGCAUAAUCACACUCUGCCGCAUGUCAGAGUGUGAAAAGAGAAUCGCUAUGAGAUGGACCCGCGUCUGAUUAGCCAGUUGGCAGGGUAAGAGCCUACCAAAGCGACGAUCAGUAGCCGAUCAGAGAGGAAGAAAGGAGACAAUGGGAGUGAGACACGGCCGAAAAUACUACGGGAGGGAGGAGUGGGGGAUAUAGCAAAAUGGGGGGAACGCUGAUGAAGCGACGACGGGAGAGUGAAGAAGUAUUUCGGUAAGUAAAGCACUAUAAGAAGGGAAGAUAAUGACAGUACCUGAAUAAGAAGCAACGGCUAACUACGUG